UACGUAGGGGGCUAGCGUUGUCCGGAAUCAUUGGGCGUAAAGAGCGUGUAGGCGGCCCGGUAAGUCCGCUGUGAAAGUCGGGGGCUCAACCCUCGAAUGCCGGUGGAUACUGUCGGGCUAGAGUGCGGAAGAGGCGAGUGGAAUUCCUGGUGUAGCGGUGAAAUGCGCAGAUAUCAGGAGGAACACCAAUUGCGAAGGCAGCUCGCUGGGACGUAACUGACGCUGAGAACGCGAAAGCGUGGGGGAGCAAACAGG
rnacentral:rRNA from 1 species